CCGCUCCAAAAUGUCAUGCAAUAUUUUAUGUAAAUAUCAUGUCAGGCAUCUUUUCAGUAAAAGCAGCAAAUAUGAUAUACUAACUGGGGGUCAAUGAUUGUAACAUUCAAAAUGAGUAAACCUUAUAAAUAUAUUGUUUCAGUGUUAUUGCACUUGAAGCAUUGUCUACAGUAUACAUCUGCUGGCACACACAUAAUGUAUAUACCACCACAUAUUAUGUAUCUACUGCCACACAUAAUAUAAUUAUGGCCACAUAUAAUAUAUCGACCGCCACACAUAAUAAAUCACCACACUGUAUAAAUCUGUCAUUACAGUCUGUAUAUCUAUCACCACACUAUGUUUGUCUAUCACCACACUAUUGUCUCUCACCACACUAUGUUUGUCUAUCACCACACAAUGUUUGUCUAUCACAAC
rnacentral:lncRNA from 1 species